rnacentral:rRNA from 1 species
AGGACGAACGCUGGCGGCGUGCUUAACACAUGCAAGUCGAACGGUAAGGCCCUUCGGGGUACACGAGUGGCGAACGGGUGAGUAACACGUGGGUGAUCUGCCCUGCACUUCGGGAUAAGCUUGGGAAACUGGGUCUAAUACCGGAUAUGACUACGAAUCGCAUGGUUUGUGGUGGAAAGCUUUUGCGGUGUGGGAUGGGCCCGCGGCCUAUCAGCUUGUUGGUGGGGUGAUGGCCUACCAAGGCGACGACGGGUAGCCGGCCUGAGAGGGUGUCCGGCCACACUGGGACUGAGAUACGGCCCAGACUCCUACGGGAGGCAGCAGUGGGGAAUAUUGGACAAUGGGCGCAAGCCUGAUCCAGCCAUGCCGCGUGAGUGAUGAAGGCCCUAGGGUUGUAAAGCUCUUUUGUGCGGGAAGAUAAUGACGGUACCGCAAGAAUAAGCCCCGGCUAACUUCGUGCCAGCAGCCGC